GGCUCAGGAUGAACGCUAGCUACAGGCUUAACACAUGCAAGUCGAGGGAAACGAUAUUGGAAGCUUGCUUCCGAUAGGCGUCGACCGGCGCACGGGUGAGUAACGCGUAUCCAACCUGCCCAUCACUUGGGGAUAACCUUGCGAAAGUAAGACUAAUACCCAAUGACGUCUCUAGAAGACAUCUGAAAGAGAUUAAAGAUUUAUCGGUGAUGGAUGGGGAUGCGUCUGAUUAGCUUGUUGGCGGGGUAACGGCCCACCAAGGCGACGAUCAGUAGGGGUUCUGAGAGGAAGGUCCCCCACAUUGGAACUGAGACACGGUCCAAACUCCUACGGGAGGCAGCAGUGAGGAAUAUUGGUCAAUGGACGAGAGUCUGAACCAGCCAAGUAGCGUGCAGGAAGACGGCCCUAUGGGUUGUAAACUGCUUUUAUAAGGGAAUAAAGUGAGUCUCGUGAGACUUUUUGCAUGUACCUUAUGAAUAAGGACCGGCUAAUUCCGUG
rnacentral:rRNA from 1 species